CAGUCGCCACGGUAAAACGGAGGAUCCAAGCGUUAUCCGGAAUCAUUGGGUUUAAAGGGUCCGUAGGCGGUCUUGUAAGUCAGUGGUGAAAGCCCAUCGCUCAACGGUGGAACGGCCAUUGAUACUGCAGGACUUGAAUUAUUGGGAAGUAACUAGAAUAUGUAGUGUAGCGGUGAAAUGCUUAGAGAUUACAUGGAAUACCAAUUGCGAAGGCAGGUUACUACCAAUUGAUUGACGCUGAUGGACGAAAGCGUGGGUAGCGAACAGGAUUAGAUACCCGCGUAGUCCCUGUCUCUUAUAA
rnacentral:rRNA from 1 species